UUGUGAGCUCUUAAGAGACUAAUCUUUAUUUUAGUAUUCAAAUUUACACUUUGACUAUAGAAUUUAAGCAUCCAAAUUAUCUUGUAUCAUCUUUAAAUCCAGAUUAAAUUUUCUAAAGUUUAGGGUUAAUCAUCAAGCAUCUUGGUCUGAAUGACAGGCAUCUCUAUUGUCACAAAAAAAUGCAACAAAACCUGAGGAAUAAUGUGAAACUCUGAGCUGGGAUGUUAAAAGCUUGUUAAGGAUAAUGUUAAACUUCAUAUAUAAUAAAUAAUAGCAAGGAUGUUAUAGCAUCUAUAGCUGUUUAAAGAAGUUCCCCCACCCAGAGAAAGACAAAAUACUAUUGCCUGUGUUUUUUUAGCUU
rnacentral:lncRNA from 1 species